AGCGAACGCUGGCGGCAGGCUUAACACAUGCAAGUCGAGCGGGCACUUCGGUGUCAGCGGCGCACGGGUGAGUAACAUGUGGGAAUAUGCCUUUUGGUACGGAACAACGUUUGGAAACGAACGCUAAUACCGUAUGGUCCCUCCGGGGUAAAGAUUUAUCGCCAAAAGAUUAGCCCGCACUAGAUUAGCUAGUUGGUAAAGUAAUGGCUUACCAAGGCGACGAUCUAUAGCUGUUCUGAGAGGAAGAUCAGCCACACUGGGACUGAGACAUGGCCCAGACUCCUACGGGAGGCAGCAGUUAGGAAUAUUGGACAAUGGGCGCAAGCCUGAUCCAGCCAUGCCGCGUGAGUGAUGAAGGCCUUCGGGUUGUAAAGCUCUUUAGCCGACGAAUAUAAUGACUGUAGUCGGAGAAUAAGCCCCGGCUAACUUCGUGCCAGCCGCCGCAGUAAAAC
rnacentral:rRNA from 1 species